UACGUAGGGUGCAAGCGUUGUCCGGAAUUAUUGGGCGUAAAGAGCUCGUAGGCGGUUUGUCGCGUCUGCUGUGAAAACCCGAGGCUCAACCUCGGGCCUGCAGUGGGUACGGGCAGACUAGAGUGGCGGUAGGGGAGAUUGGAAUUCCUGGUGUAGCGGUGGAAUGCGCAGAUAUCAGGAGGAACACCAAGUGGCGAAGGCAGAUCUCUGGGCCGUAACUGACGCUGAGGAGCGAAAGCAUGGGGAGCGAACAGG
rnacentral:rRNA from 1 species